UACGUAGGGUGCGAGCGUUAAUCGGAAUUACUGGGCGUAAAGCGUGCGCAGGCGGUUCGCUAAGACCGAUGUGAAAUCCCCGGGCUUAACCUGGGAACUGCAUUGGUGACUGGCGGGCUAGAGUAUGGCAGAGGGGGGUAGAAUUCCACGUGUAGCAGUGAAAUGCGUAGAGAUGUGGAGGAAUACCGAUGGCGAAGGCAGCCCCCUGGGCCAAUACCGACGCUCAUGCACGAAAGCGUGGGGAGCAAACAGG
rnacentral:rRNA from 1 species